AGAGUUUGAUCAUGGCUCAGGACGAACGCUGGCGGCACGCCUAACACAUGCAAGUCGAACGGAGAACAGAGAGCUUGCUUUUUGUUCUUAGUGGCGGACGGGUGAGUAACACGUGAGGAACCUGCCUUUGCGAGGGGGAUAGCUUCUGGAAACGGAUGGUAAUACCCCAUAACAUCACGGGAUCGCAUGGUUUUGUGAUCAAAGAAUUUUUGCGCAGAGAUGGCCUCGCGUCUGAUUAGCUAGUUGGUGAGGUAACGGCUCACCAAGGCGACGAUCAGUAGCCGGACUGAGAGGUUGAACGGCCACAUUGGGACUGAGACACGGCCCAGACUCCUACGGGAGGCAGCAGUGGGGAAUAUUGCACAAUGGGGGGAACCCUGAUGCAGCGAUGCCGCGUGGAGGAAGAAGGUUUUCGGAUUGUAAACUCCUGUCGUAAGGGACGAUAAUGACGGUACCUUACAAGAAAGCUCCGGCUAACUACGUGCCAGCAGCCGCGGUAAUACGUAGGGAGCGAGCGUUGUCCGGAAUUACUGGGUGUAAAGGGAGCGCAGGCGGGAUGGUAAGUCAGAUGUGAAACCUAUGGGCUCAACCCAUAGACUGCAUUUGAAACUGCUGUUCUUGAGUGAGGUAGAGGUAAGCGGAAUUCCUGGUGUAGCGGUGGAAUGCGCAGAUAUCGGGAAGAACACCGAUGGCGAAGGCAGACCUCUGGGCCUUUAACUGACACUAAGGCGCGAAAGCUGGGGGAGCAAACAGGAUUAGAUACCCUGGUAGUCCCAGCCGUAAACGAUGGGCGCUAGGUG
rnacentral:rRNA from 1 species